UCCUUCGUGGUGUAACGGUAGCACACUCGGCGCGUAUUCGAGAGAUCCAGGUUCGAGUCCCGGCGAUGGCG
rnacentral:tRNA from 1 species